UUCCGUUUCAGGGAAUCCUAAAUGACAGAGCUGUGGGGGAGAUCGCUGUCGGGGAUUAGAAAAUCUGUUUCCAAUGUUUCUGCCACAGAGAAUAUGGAACAGCAGGAGCAGAAGUUGAUGCAAGAGGGGCAUUGUAGGAUUGUUAUUCAACUCACAUCUCUGGCAGGCGCAUUCCCUCUCCCCAGAUUUCUCCCGAGAAAUCAUCUGAAUAAAGAGCGGCUCCGACAUGAAGGAUGGGAGAGGGGAAGAAUAUUUCUCUGAUCCGCAUGCGACAGGCAAUGAAUUGUUCAGCAAACCUUAAUCAAUAGUCCUUACAUUUCCCCAGCAGUUAACCUUUGCAAAAGGGAGAAGGGCAGUCAGUAUUUCUGCAGGCUGGAGAAGGGUGCAGGGUGCUGGGGAUCUCAGUGCAGCCAGAGCCGAGUGCUUGUGCCCUUCGUGCCAGACCCCCUCACAUCCCCACACUGCUGAGGACUGGCCUUUUUAGCUCAUUUUUCACUUGGCCAUAUCAUGCCCCACCCGAAGGACAUGUCCCCUGACACGUGCUGCAAACACCAGCCUGCCCUGAGCCAGGAGGACCAGUGCUUCCCUGGGCUGGGCAUCCAGCAGAGCACUGAAAAGCCUGUUGGGAAACAACAGCAGAUUAUUCAGUCCCUGGUGACAGAACAUCUGUGAAAAGCUGUGUCCAUGGAGGUUUUCAGGAGGAGAACUCCCUUACUCACCCUGGCACCAGCCACUACUACGCAGAGACAAAAAUCCGUCUGGGACUCUUCGGUGGUGUCUGGUAUUCUGCUCCAGGCAAGCACACAUCUCAAGUGUUGCUUUGAAACGUUCACCGUUUGCUGGGAAGCUCCUGUUGUAACUUCUGAAAGAGGCAAAAGCGGAGGUUUCUCCGGAUGUUUUUCCCUUCCCACCUCAGCAGGGCAGGAGCGUGCUUCACUUCACCUCCAACCAAAAACCUUCUGGUCACAAAUGGACCUUGGGUUUUCACAUAGUGCCAUUCCUUUAAGGGAAGGAGAGCCAGAACCAAACUAACCUUCCUGGAGAUAUGCCGUCAGCACAGAAAUAACACAGGAGCCAGCCACAGAGGAAGGAUUUCAUUCAAUGUCAGCAGGCUCCCUCUUGCAUGCCUUGUGGCGAGAAGCACGUGGAAAACCUGAUGGGACUACCUCUGCCUUCAUUCCAUCAGGGGAAACACCAUGUUUGCAUUUCACUGCAGAGACACGCUCCAUACACUGUAAAUGCCUCAUUUUUGGCUGUGUUGCCUUAACACUUCUCAAGAUGAGCCUGAGCAGAAGCCUAUCUGUCAGGCUGUCCUGCCCUACUGGGUCCUCCCAAGGAAAAAUUGUGUUAAACAACUUUUAUUGUCCCUCUGUGUAUGACAGCUGUAAGACACCCUUGCUAUGGACCCCCUGUUUCUAAAAUAAAUGUGGCUUGAGUUGUAA